rnacentral:rRNA from 1 species
CGGAGUCUAGCAUGUGCGCAAGUCAUUGGGAAGAUACCUAAAGGCGCAAUGAAAGUAAAAGUUUGCCUUAUGUGCACCAAGGGAAGAUGGGCAUUAUCUCGCAUUCCCGGGGCGUCUCAUUCUUAUUGCAAGAAGAGGCGCACCAAGAGCGUACACGCUGGGACCCGAAAGAUGGUGAACUAUGCCUGGUCAGGACGAAGUCAGGGGAAACCCUGAUGGAGGUCCGUAGCGAUUCUGACGUGCAAAUCGAUCGUCGGAACUGGGUAUAGGGGCGAAAGACUAAUCGAACCAUCUAGUAGCUGGUUCCCUCCGAAGUUUCCCUCAGGAUAGCUGGCGUUCAUUUUUUAAGAGUUUCAUCUGGUAAAGCGAAUGAUUAGAGGCAUUGGGGUCGAAACGGCCUCAACCUAUUCUCAAACUUUAAAUGGGUGAGAUCUUCGGCUUGCUUGAAUAGAAUCAGAGUGCCAAGUGGGCCAUUUUUGGUAAGCAGAACUGGUGCUGUGGGAUGAACCAAACGCCGAGUUAAAGCGCCUAAAUCGACGCUUAUGGGAUACCAUGAAAGGCGUUGGUAACUUAAGACAUCAGGACGGUGGCCAUGGAAGUC